AUUUGUGUAAUUUAAUAAAAAUAUUAUAUUUUCAUUAUAACAUUAGAGAUUCUCUCACAAAUA
rnacentral:tRNA from 1 species